rnacentral:rRNA from 1 species
AGCGGGAAGAGCUCAAAUUUGAAAUCUAGUAGCCUUCGGCUGCUCGAGUUGUAAUCUAGAGAAGUGUUUUCCGUGCCGGCCCAUGUACAAGUCCCUUGGAACAGGGCGUCAUAGAGGGUGAGAAUCCCGUCCUUGACAUGGACCCCCGGUGCUCUGUGAUACACUUUCAACGAGUCGAGUUGUUUGGGAAUGCAGCUCAAAAUGGGUGGUGAAUUCCAUCUAAAGCUAAAUAUUGGCGAGAGACCGAUAGCGAACAAGUACCGUGAGGGAAAGAUGAAAAGCACUUUGGAAAGAGAGUUAAACAGUACGUGAAAUUGUUGAAAGGGAAACGAUUGAAGUCAGUCAUGCUCUUUGGUAUUUAUAUCAUUGAGUGGGGUCAACAUCAGUUUUGAUCGAUGGAUAAAGGCACUAGGAAGGUAGCACUCUCGGGUGAACUUAUAGCCUGGCGUCAUAUACAUUGAUUGGGACUGAGGAACGCAGCAUGCCUUUAUGGCCGGGAUUCGUCCACGUACAUGCUUAGGAUGUUGACAUAAUGGCUUUAAACGACCCGUCUUGAA